rnacentral:rRNA from 1 species
UGGGGAUGACGUCAAGUCCUCAUGGCCUUAUGACCAGGGCUACACACGUACUACAAUGGCAGGUACAAAGGGCAGCCACUUAGCGAUAAGGCGCGAAUCCCGUAAACCUGUCUCAGUCCGGAUUGGAGUCUGCAACUCGACUCCAUGAAGUUGGAAUCGCUAGUAAUCGCAGAUCAGCACGCUGCGGUGAAUACGUUCCCGGGCCUU